rnacentral:rRNA from 1 species
UACGUAGGGUGUGAGCGUUGUCCGGAAUUAUUGGGCGUAAAGGGCUCGUAGGCGGUUUGUCGCGUCGGGAGUGAAAACACACAGCUUAACUGUGUGCUUGCUUCCGAUACGGGCAGACUAGAGGUAUGCAGGGGAGAACGGAAUUCCUGGUGUAGCGGUGAAAUGCGCAGAUAUCAGGAGGAACACCGGUGGCGAAGGCGGAUCUCUGGGCCAUUACUGACGCUGAGGAGCGAAAGCGUGGGGAGCGAACAGG